CUAGAGAGUUUGCUAUUUGGCUUAGACUAACCUCAAGUUUUGCAAUUGCUUGCAUAUGGAAUUGGUUAGUCUAUGCUUGGGCUGUAUUGGUCUGUUGUUGUUGCUUGAUAAAAUCUUGUUGUUGUUUCAUCAUAUUAGCCAUCAUGGUUUCUAAUGGUGAAGGUUGUUGUAGGAUAGGGGCAUUAUAAGGAGGUACACAUGAAACCAAAGGUUGAUUCAUUUGUGAUGGACCUAUCCUGGGGAAGUUGUUCUGAAAACCUGGUAGACCACCUUGAUGCUGAAUAGGUUCAUUUUGCUUGUAUGAGAAAUUUGGGUGGAACCUAUUA
rnacentral:lncRNA from 1 species